CAGGAUUAGAUACCCUGGUAGUCCACGCAGUAAACGAUGAUUACUAGGAGUUUGCGAUAUAAUGUAAGCUCUACAGCGAAAGCGUUAAGUAAUCCACCUGGGGAGUACGCCGGCAACGGUGAAACUCAAAGGAAUUGACGGGGGCCCGCACAAGCGGAGGAACAUGUGGUUUAAUUCGAUGAUACGCGAGGAACCUUACCCGGGUUUGAACGCAGUCUGACCGCCGAUGAAAGUCGGCUUCUAGCAAUAGCGGAUUGCGAGGUGCUGCAUGGUUGUCGUCAGCUCGUGCCGUGAGGUGUCGGCUUAAGUGCCAUAACGAGCGCAACCCUUGCCGUUAGUUACUAACAAGUAAAGUUGAGGACUCUAGCGGGACUGCCAGCGUAAGCUGUGAGGAAGGCGGGGAUGACGUCAAAUCAGCACGGCCCUUACAUCCGGGGCGACACACGUGUUACAAUGGCGUGGACAAAGAGCAGCCACUUGGUGACAAGGAGCUAAUCUCCAAACCACGUCUCAGUUCGGAUCGGAGUCUGCAACUCGACUCCGUGAAGCUGGAUUCGCUAGUAAUCGCGCAUCAGCCAUGGCGCGGUGAAUACGUUCCCGGGCCUUGUACACACCGCCCGUCAAGCCAUGGGAGCCGGGGGUACCUGAAGUCCGUAACCGCGAGGAUCGGCCUAGGGUAAAACUGGUGACUGGGGCUAAGUCGUAACAAGGUAGCCGUACCGGAAGGUGCGGCUG
rnacentral:rRNA from 1 species